UUUCCCCUACCGUGUUCGUGAUGAAGUAAAACUCUUGAGCCUACCAACUUCAAGACAGGGAGUUUGAGGCCGAGUAUGGCGUACAUGCCUUCUCUUCUUCGGAAGUAGGACGUACAGAGUAUUCACGAAAACACCCACCUGGGUUUACCAGGUUCGAAAGAUUUUGCUCCACACGGCAUCGUGGUGGGGGGAUG
rnacentral:other from 1 species